rnacentral:rRNA from 1 species
CCUACGGGCGGCAGCAGUGGGGGAUAUUGCACAAUGGGGGAAACCCUGAUGCAGCGACGCCGCGUGAGUGAAGAAGGAUUUCGGUAUGUAAAGCUCUAUCAGCAGGGAAGAAAAUGACAGUACCUGACCAAGAAGCCCCGGCUAACUACGAGCCCGCAGCCGAGGGAAUACGUAGGGGGCAAGCGUUAUCCGGAUUUACUGGGUUUAAAGGGGGCGUAGACGGUUCGGUCAGUCAGGAGGGAAAGCCCGGGGCCCCACCCCGGGACUGCGUUGGAAACUGUGUAACUGGAGUACAGGAGGGGCAGGCGGAAUUCCUGGUGUAGCGGUGAAAUGCUUAGAUAUCAGGCGGAACACCGGCGGCGACGGCGGCCUGCUGGACUGAAUCUGACGUUGAGGCUCGAAAGCGUGGGGAGCAAACAGGAUUAGAUACCCGAGUAGUC